CCUAAUCUGGAGGCUCAGAGAGAUAAGUUUCUGACCUGGAUCUUGGCAUGGAGAUCUUGAAGCAUAGUGGCUAUGAUUUCCAGAAGAUUAAGACAAGGACAUCUCCUAGUUCAAGAUCAUCUGGGAUUAAAGGCAUGGAGGCACACACCUUUAAUCUGGGCCACACCCUCUGCUGGAGACCCACAGCCUUUAAUCUGGGCCACACCCUCUGCUGGAGACCUACAGCCUUUAAUCUGGGCCACACCCUCUGCUGGAGAUCUAUAUAAGGACAUUGGAAGAAGGAAGAUUUACUCACUCUUCCUUGCCUGCUUGCCUCGUGGGACUGAGAAACUGCUAGAUCCUUGGACUUCCAUCCACAGCUGCUGCUGAUCAUUGUUGGGGAGUUGGACUACAGACUGUAGUGUCACCCCUGCUGAUUCCUGUUUGCUAUCCUGACUCUACCGAACUGGACUGCGGGUGUAUCUGUGAAGUGUUUGCGGGUGGAUGGAGCUGCCGUGGCUGACCUGUGAACUGAACUGCCAAUUUUCAGACAACACAGAUGGGAGUUGCUCCAAAGAGCCAUUUCUAAACAGAUAGUUAGGUAGAACGAGCCUUUCCAAGUUUCCAGUCAGGAUUGAAGACCUGCAGCCCUCCAGGAAUCUUCCAGGCCUUCAGUGCCAACCUGGGACUACUGAGACACACAGCCUUGUGGACUGAGCAGCUGGGCUUCUCUGUCUCUCUGGUGGGAUACAGCCAUUAUCGGACCAAAUGGCAGGGUUUUUCUCUAUAACAGUCCUAGUUGUCCUGGAACUUGCUGUUGUAGACCAGGCUGUUCCUUGAGGUCACAGAGAUCAACCUGCUGGAAUGCUCAGAUUAAAGGCAUGCCACUAUCACCCAACUAAGAGGCCACGUGGAAAGAGGUAGCUCUCUAAGUGUUUGGGGGCACCAUCACAAGGAUCCGUAGGUCUAAGGGUACUAAGAGAAGACCUAAGAAGGUCAUGGCAAGACAGAAGUCAAGAAACGUGGAGAGAAUGGAUGAGAAUGGGAA